rnacentral:ncRNA from 1 species
ACAGUACAAUCUGAUCAGGCGACGAGAUAUGACCGGAUUAUCGUGCAGCCGGGCUGACAAUCAGCAACAGGAUCUAUCUGCCUGUGGGACAGUA